ACCCGCACAAGCGGUGGAUGAUGUGGAUUAAUUCGAUGCAACGACGAAAACCUUACCUACCCUUGACAUGUCCGGAAUCCCGAAGAGAUAGAGGAGUGCUCGAAAGAGAGCCGUAACACAGGUGCUGCAUGGCUGUCGUCAGCUCGUGUCGUGAGAUGUUGGGUUAAGUCCCGCAACGAGCGCAACCCUUGUCAUUAGUUGCUACAUUCAGUUGGGCACUCUAAUGAGACUGCCGGUGACAAACCGGAGGAAGGUGGGGAUGACGUCAAGUCCUCAUGGCCCUUAUAGGUGGGGCUACACACGUCAUACAAUGGAUGGUACAAAGGGUCGCCAACCCGCGAGGGGGAGCCAAUCCCAUAAAGCCAUUCGUAGUCCGGAUCGCAGUCUGCAACUCGACUGCGUGAAGUCGGAAUCGCUAGUAAUCGUGGAUCAGAAUGUCACGGUGAAUACGUUCCCGGGUCUU
rnacentral:rRNA from 1 species